rnacentral:rRNA from 1 species
UACGUAGGGGGCAAGCGUUGUCCGGAAUCAUUGGGCGUAAAGAGCGUGUAGGCGGCUCGGUAAGUCCGCUCUGAAAGCCCGGGGGCUCAACCCCGGGAGGCGGGCGGAUACUGUCGGGCUAGAGUCCGGAAGAGGCGAGUGGAAUUCCUGGUGUAGCGGUGAAAUGCGCAGAUAUCAGGAGGAACACCAAUGGCGAAGGCAGCUCGCUGGGGCGGUACUGACGCUGAGACGCGAAAGCGUGGGGAGCAAACAGG